UUUAAAAGAUUCUGGCCUGGAUAUCUCUCUCUCUGCUUGGAACUGGAUAGAAGAAAGAAGCCUUUCUAGUAUUUCAUUGGAUGACAUGAACUGUUGGAUGGAGAACUGGCUCGAUUCCAGAGACUGUGGAAGAAUGGAAGUUCCUUCUGCAUCUUGCACAAAGUCGCAGCCCUGAUUUCCAGUGCCAUGGUACACAGAAUGGGAAUACUAUUGGCAAUGGUAGCACUAAUUGGUCAAACUGCAUUACUGUUGAAAAUGUAGCUCUGUUGUUGUCUAAGGUAAUUGGUCCAGAUCGUGCCUUGCCCGUACUGCAGGAAUGUGAUUUGACAGCAGAAUUGUCUGAGAGAUUUACCAGGAUCUGCGAAA